UAUAUUUUCUAGUGAAAUUUUUACUGCGAAAAUGUUCCUCUAUAUUUUAUAUUCUCGUUACUCAUUUUUCUUUUUAGUCUAAUCUCUUAAAUUUCAAUCGAAGGAAAAUUCGUACGUCUAAUGAUUGACAAGGAAGUUCCUUGUAAAUUAAUCAAAAUGGCGGUGAAAAAUUACGAUAAUCCUCACGGUCGUCGUGCUAUCUUUUAGUUAUUUAUAGUCGUGGGCAUACAACAAUGACAGGUAUAUUCGAUAACGAAUUCUAGUUAGAAACUGAACAUUAUCCUCGUUUAAAACGGAAUGGAAGCUGAAUAACCGAGGAAAAUUCUUUCGUAAUUGGCUUCCGGAAUUUUAUGUUUCAUUGAACUUCUCAUCGACUCUGUUUACUUGUAAAUCUAUGCAUUUUUUAUCAUUUUUAAUAUUUACGUAAUUGAUCGAGAAAAUUGUUUUGUAAAAAAUCGAUCGACGAUAAUUAUCAUGUGAAAGAUAAUUAAGUGAAAUGAAAUUGUUAUAAAUUAUCGUGUCCAUUGAUUUUGAAUUAAUUAAACGAAGAAUUCGAUGAAAAAGAAGGAAAGAGAAAUGAUUCUAAAUUUUUAACCGGUAAUGCACAUACAGUAGAUAGUGACUCAAAGUGAAAAAAUAAAUAGAAGUUUAUUUAUUUAACCAAGACAGCUAGGAAGUUGGAGUUCUGCCACGAGAUUGCCACUCUCAAAGUUGUUUCUACGACCACGCAGAGGUGGAAAGCUUUGGUCGACGACGAUAGCCUCUUUGCACGCAUACCCGCUCGCGUAUUUGCACUUUGUCCGACUGUAAAUUACGUUUCCACGGCGUGGCGAGAUACAGCGAAAACGCCAUUGGACCCUCUUCGUGGACUAUUAUCGUGCAACGAGGAUAUCUAAACUUAUAUAUAUAUAUAAGUACAUAUACUUCUGCUUAAAAGUCUUGGAAUAUCUUUUAUGGUGUAAUCAUGAAUUUUAAUUUUUACGUUAAAUACAUUAAUAUUUAUUGAUGGUCACUAAAUUUCUUAACUCUUUACUCUGUAAACAUUUUCACGAUUACCUCGAACCAUAAACGAUGGUCAUUUGUAUUCAACGUGAUUUUCAAUAGAUGUUUCGAACGGAGAGGAAGAAAAGUUCCACGAAGAGAAAAAUCGAGCGAUCCAAAAAGGGAAGAAAGAAAGAUGAAUUCGUGCAUUUAAUAAUAUAUAUAUAUAUAUUUUAUCGAACGAAAAGUGCUCGAUGAAGGAAAGAAAAAAUUUGAUGGAAAAAGAAAAAGGCCCAAUGAAGGUUGCAUCGACUCAAUUAAGAGAUCAUCAUAUUCAUUUAAUAAGUACAAUAGAUGUCCUAAAACUUCUCGAAUAAAGAAUGUUUAUACUCGAAAAAAAAAAAAAAAGACGCACGGAAGAAUCCGUGGAACGGGGGCCAGGCCCAGAGAAGGAGGAAAUGAGAUGGAAGAUGGUGGGUCAGGCGAAAAAGGAAGAGGCAGAGAGUCGAUCGAGGAUUAAGUAGUCGAGGUGAUCUCGCGCACUUAGGGCUACAAGGGAUAAAGCUCCGGCACUGUCAGUGGGCAGGGUGGGACGAAGGGUGGACCAACCGGUCCUCGAGGUUGCCUCGGCUUAUUCAGUCAACGAACUCUGCGGGCCUACGACGUGACACUGACCCCUCCAGGGUAAACGUCCCUGGCCGGUCGCUUUAUCAAUGUAAACGCGCCGAUCGCCGGUGGAAAUAAAUGGGAAAAAAGAGAAGGAGGGGGGAGAGGGGAAAAAAAAAGAAAGAGAAAAGAAAAAAGAGUGGAAAGAAGGGAGAAAUAAGAAGAAAUAAGAGGGAGAAGUGGAAAAGGAAAGGGGAAAAAAGGAGAGAGAAAGAAAAAGAAAAGGAAAGGCACGGUUGCGUCGUCGGAAGGCAAAGAGAAGUGGAUGGUUGUAACAUUAGCGAGACGCUGAAGACGAUGAUCCCUUCGGGGCGUGUUUCUUCCAACGGUAUACGUAUAAUGUAUAGGGUGGCUUGAAUGAACGCAUGUCCAUACCUAAGAAUGGGACAAUAAUCUUUGCAAUAGAUAUCCUUUGAUCUUCUUGCUCCGUUUCAUCUUCAUCUCUUGAAAUUGAGGUAAUAGAUUAAUAAAGAAAGGACUUGCACUUUUAUGGAUUGGAUUUUCAUACUUAAGGAAAAUUUUUCCAAUUUUUUUGAUCUUGUUCUCAAGGUAAUUGAUUAAUAAAGAAUGGAUUGCACUUAUGGAUUGGAUUUUUUCCAAUGGACGUUCUUUGAUCCUGUUCCAUUGGAUAUUUAUUGCAUCGACACGUUUGAAAAUUGAGGUAUUCGAUGCUAGUGAACGGUAUGAACGAUAUGUAAUAAAGAGAAGGAUUUUAAAUUAUUAGGAGGAAUGGUAUUUUCCAACGGAAUUCGAACUGACUGGUAUUCUCAAUGGAUUUGUAUUUAUGAAUCACCUUGUGUGCACGGUGGUGAGUCCACGUUUAUGGGAGAGAGCUGAUAACGUUGCGAAUUUCCUCACGUUCUUUCGCGUGGUAAUUUGCGAUUUAGCCGGAAUGAGAAGGGUUGGUGGAUUGUCGUGGAUUUUUAUCAGUGGAAGAAUUGGUUUUCGCCCAUUACGUUGUUUUAUAUAUUUUAUUUAUACAAUGGAUAGAGGCUUAAAGCCUCUAUUCACCUCUAUCCUAAAUUCAAAAAAUUUAACAUAAUUUUUAUCCUCUUCAAGGUUGAAGGAGAAUUUUUUGAAGAAUAUUGUAUACAAGCGAUUAAAUUGAGAAGAAAGAGUUGAGGCAGUUUUUUAGAAAUAUAUUUGGAAAAGAAGGAGAAAAUAAUGGGUAUAAUAAGGGGGAAAGGAAAGAUAGAAAGAUACGUCGAACUUGGAGAAAGAAUUUUCUUCUUCUUCAGGGAUUUAGGAGCUUAUCUAUUAGGAGAAGAGAAAGAUUCUCGUUUUCUCAAGAGUUUUAAUGUACAUUGUAUGUUAUUUAUCUUGUACUUCCGAUUAAAUUACGAUAACGAGAUUAUCUAUUUUUAGAUAGAUACUCUCUUAAAAGAA